rnacentral:rRNA from 1 species
AUUGAACGCUGGCGGCAGGCUUAACACAUGCAAGUCGAGCGGGGUGAUGGUGCUUGCACUAUCACUUAGCGGCGGACGGGUGAGUAAUGCUUAGGAAUCUGCCUAUUAGUGGGGGACAACAUCUCGAAAGGGAUGCUAAUACCGCAUACGUCCUACGGGAGAAAGCAGGGGAUCACUUGUGACCUUGCGCUAAUAGAUGAGCCUAAGGCGGAUUAGCUAGUUGGUGGGGUAAAGGCCUACCAAGGCGACGAUCUGUAGCGGGUCUGAGAGGAUGAUCCGCCACCCUGGUACUGAGACACGGCCCAGACUCCUACGGGAGGCAGCAGUGGGGAAUAUUGGACAAUGGGGGGAACCCUGAUCCAGCCAUGCCGAGUGUGUGAAGAAGGCCUUAUGGUUGUAAAGCACUUUAAGCGAGGAGGAGGCUCUUUUGGUUAAUACCCAAGAUGAGUGGACGUUACUCGCAGAAUAAGCACCGGCUAACUCUGUGCCAGCCGCCGCGGUAA